AGUAAGCGCGUUAAGGAUGGAAGUGGCAUCCUUUUUUGUUUUUUUCAAAAAAGAUAUAACGUACAGCCUGACGCAUU
rnacentral:sRNA from 1 species